rnacentral:rRNA from 1 species
GUAACCAGGUUUCCCGUAGGUGAACCUGCGGAGGGAUCAUUA